rnacentral:rRNA from 1 species
GAUGAACGCUGGCGACGUGCCUAAUACAUGCAAGUCGAGCGAACGGACGAGAAGCUUGCUUCUCUGAUGUUAGCGGCGGACGGGUGAGUAACACGUGGAUAACCUACCUAUAAGACUGGGAUAACUUCGGGAAACCGGAGCUAAUACCGGAUAAUAUUUUGAACCGCAUGGUUCAAAAGUGAAAGACGGCCUUGCUGUCACUUAUAGAUGGAUCCGCGCUGCAUUAGCUAGUUGGUAAGGUAACGGCUUACCAAGGCAACGAUGCAUAGCCGACCUGAGAGGGUGAUCGGCCACACUGGAACUGAGACACGGUCCAGACUCCUACGGGAGGCAGCAGUAGGGAAUCUUCCGCAAUGGGCGAAAGCCUGACGGAGCAACGCCGCGUGAGUGAUGAAGGUCUUCGGAUCGUAAAACUCUGUUAUUAGGGAAGAACAUAUGUGUAAGUAACUGUGCACAUCUUGACGGUACCUAAUCAGAAAGCCACGGCUAACUACGUG